UACCGGCGGCUCGAGUGGUGGCCGCUAUUACUGGGCUUAAAGGGUCCGUAGCUUGAUAUACAAGUCCCUUGAGAAAUCCGCCAGCUUAACUGGCGGGCGUUCAGGGGAAACUGUAUUUCUAGGGACCGGGAGAGGUGAGAGGUACUGCCGGGGUAGGAGUGAAAUCCUGUAAUCCCGGUGGGACCACCUAUGGCGAAGGCAUCUCACCAGAACGGGUCCGACAGUGAGGGACGAAAGCUGGGGGAGCAAACCGG
rnacentral:rRNA from 1 species